UACGGAGGGUGCAAGCGUUAUCCGGAUUUACUGGGUUUAAAGGGUGCGUAGGUGGGUUGGUAAGUCAGUGGUGAAAUACUUUCGCUUAACGAAGGAACUGCCAUUGAUACUACCAGUCUUGAAUACAGUGGAGGUAGGCGGAAUGCGUCAUGUAGCGGUGAAAUGCUUAGAUAUGACGCAGAACACCAAUUGCGAAGGCAGCUUGCUACACUGUUAUUGACACUGAGGCACGAAAGCGUGGGGAUCAAAACAGG
rnacentral:rRNA from 1 species